rnacentral:snRNA from 1 species
AUACUCGCUUCAGCAACACAUACACUACAAUUAGAAUGAUACAAAGACUAGCAUGGCCCCUGCACAAGGAUUACACACAAAUUUGUGAGGCGUUCCAUUAAAAA